UAAGACUUUAGAAGUUUGUGUGUGC
rnacentral:piRNA from 1 species